CUGCAAGUGUCCCUGGCCCCGCAGUUUGUUGGCUGUGCAGCGUCUCAGGCACUCCCUGAAGGUCGAGUCUUGGCCGAGAUUUCGGCUCACCCCAGUCCAGCUUCUGCUCCUGGCCAGGAAUGGCGUUUCCUAACCACACGUCCACGGAGCAGGGAGGUACAUCUCCACCCACUCUCAUUCCUUCUCCACAGCUUGCCAUGGGGCAGUGCUGGGUUUAGUUCCUCUCCUUAUUUGGAGCUGGGGUGUGGACAGGUGUGCAGGUGGACAGGCAGCAGCCAAGGUAGAACGCAAGUCAGCCACGGGUGGCAUGUCGGGAAGCACCAGAAGGUGCAAAAGUUUGGCAUCCAGGGCUUCCCUGGACCGACUGAAAUUUGGUCUAAAUGUGCUCUUGUACCCACGUGGGAGGGCUCAGUGCCGCCUGGGUCUGGAUUUCCUGGAGAUGGGAUUUCAGGGAGCAGAGGACGACUCUGGAUGGGUGACCUAGCCGAAAAUUAGAUCCUGACACAUAUUCAAGGAACCUGCUGCAGCUGUUUCUCCAAGAACAGAGAGCCUGGGGAUGUCCCAUCUUCAGCCCAUCAAGUCCCAAGUGCUUAGUCACCUGCUCAGCCCAGACAUGAGGGAUGCCAUCAAAGAAAAGCAAACAAUAACACACCCGUGACAAAGCCAUUUACUAAAUUAAUAGAGGCAAGGAGCAUAAAACCCUGAAAGAGUGAUUAAACCUUGCAUUUGCUCCAAGCCUAUUCCUUUUCCACAUCUGCAUUUGCCAGGUCAUCUGCUCCUAACAGUCUUAUCCUUUUUGUGCCAUGAACCCCUUUGGUAGUUUGGUGACUGCCAAUAACAAAUCAAAUAAAA
rnacentral:lncRNA from 10 species